GUCAGGAUGGCCGAGUGGUCUAAGGCGCCAGACUCAAGGCGUUUCCCGCCUUCCCUCCGCGGGGUUGGGUGUUCUGGUCUCCGUAUGGAGGCGUGGGUUCGAAUCCCACUUCUGACA
rnacentral:tRNA from 1 species